GCCAGGCAUGGUGGUGCAUGCCUGUGGUCCCAGCUACUCAGGAGGCUGAGAUGGGAGGAUCGCUUGAACCCAGGAAGUCAAGGCUGCAGUGAGCCGUGAUUGUGCCACUGCACUCCAGCCUGGGUGACAGAGUGAGACCCUGUCUCCA
ensembl:misc_RNA Metazoa_SRP Metazoan signal recognition particle RNA